AUUGUAUUCAACUAUAUUCGACUGUAUUCACGGCGUGAAAUAGGGGAUUACACUGUUUUUAAAAUAGAAAGUGAAUC
rnacentral:pre_miRNA from 1 species